GAUGAACGCUGGCGGCGUGCCUAAUACAUGCAAGUCGAGCGAACGGACGAGAAGCUUGCUUCUCUGCUGUUAGCGGCGGACGGGUGAGUAACGCGUGGAUAACCUACCUAUAAGACUGGGAUAACUUCGGGAAACCGGAGAUAAUACCGGAUAAUAUUUUGAACGGCAUGGUUCAAAAGUGAAAGACGGUCUUGCUGUCUCUUAUAGACGGUGCCGCGCUGCAUUAGCUAGUUGGUAAGGUAACGGCUUACCAAGGCAACGAUGCAUAGCCGACCUGAGAGGGUGAUCGGCCACACUGGAACUGAGACACGGUCCAGACUCCUACGGGAGGCAGCAGUAGGGAAUCUUCCGCAAUGGGCGAAAGCCUGACGGAGCAACGCCGCGUGAGCGAUGAAGGUCUUCGGAUCGUAAAACUCUGUUAUUAGGGAAGAACAUAUGUGUAAGUAACUGUGCACAUCUUGACGGUACCUAAUCAGAAAGCCACGGCUAACUACGUG
rnacentral:rRNA from 1 species